UACGUAGGUCCCGAGCGUUGUCCGGAUUUAUUGGGCGUAAAGCGAGCGCAGGUGGUUUAUUAAGUCUGGUGUAAAAGGCAGUGGCUCAACCAUUGUAUGCAUUGGAAACUGGUAGACUUGAGUGCAGGAGAGGAGAGUGGAAUUCCAUGUAUAGCGGUGAAAUGCGUAGAUAUACGGAGGAACACCAGUGGCGAAGGCGGAUUGCUGGACAGUAACUGACGCUGAGGCGCGAAAGCGUGGGGAGCAAACAGG
rnacentral:rRNA from 1 species